UACGGGAGGCAGCAGUGGGGAAUAUUGCACAAUGGGCGCAAGCCUGAUGCAGCCAUGCCGCGUGUAUGAAGAAGGCCUUCGGGUUGUAAAGUACUUUCAGUCGUGAGGAAGGUGUUAAGGUUAAUAACCUUAGCAAUUGACGUUAGCGACAGAAGAAGCACCGGCUAACUCCGUGCCAGCAGCCGCGGUAAUACGGAGGGUGCGAGCGUUAAUCGGAAUUACUGGGCGUAAAGGGCACGCAGGCGGUUAAUUAAGUUGGAUGUGAAAUCCCCGGGCUUAACCUGGGAAUGGCAUUCAAGACUGGUUAGCUAGAGUCUUGUAGAGGGGGUAGAAUUCCAUGUGUAGCGGUGAAAUGCGUAGAGAUGUGGAGGAAUACCGGUGGCGAAGGCGGCCCCUGGACAAGACUGACGCUCAUGUGCGAAAGCGUGGGGAGCGAAACAGGGAUUAGAUACC
rnacentral:rRNA from 1 species